rnacentral:rRNA from 1 species
ACGUGGGUGAUCUGCCCUGCACUUUGGGAUAAGCCUGGGAAACUGGGUCUAAUACCGGAUAGGACUACGGCCUGCAUGGGUUGUGGUGGAAAGCUUUUGCGGUGUGGGAUGGGCCCGCGGCCUAUCAGCUUGUUGGUGGGGUGAUGGCCUACCAAGGCGACGACGGGUAGCCGGCCUGAGAGGGUGACCGGCCACACUGGGACUGAGAUACGGCCCAGACUCCUACGGGAGGCAGCAGUGGGGAAUAUUGCACAAUGGGCGCAAGCCUGAUGCAGCGACGCCGCGUGGGGGAUGACGGCCUUCGGGUUGUAAACCUCUUUCAGUAGGGACGAAGCGUAAGUGACGGUACCUAUAGAAGAAGCACCGGCCAACUACGUGCCAGCAGCCGCGGUAAUACGUAGGGUGCGAGCGUUGUCCGGAAUUACUGGGCGUAAAGAGCUCGUAGGUGGUUUGUCGCGUUGUUCGUGAAAACUCACAGCUUAACUGUGGGCGUGCGGGCGAUACGGGCAGACUAGAGUACUGCAGGGGAGACUGGAAUUCCUGGUGUAGCGGUGGAAUGCGCAGAUAUCAGGAGGAACACCGGUGGCGAAGGCGGGUCUCUGGGCAGUAACUGACGCUGAGGAGCGAAAGCGUGGGGAGCGAACAGGAUUAGAUACCCUGGUAGUCCACGCCGUAAACGGUGGGUACUAGGUGUGGGUUUCC